GAAUUUUAGGGCGUCUACUUCGGUAGAGCCUGACCUCCACUCUAUCACACUGUGCACUUAUUGGCGGAAAGGAAGGAAGCAUGCGACGAGUGUACUCGACAAAGUGUGACUUUCUGCUCUGCGGCUUACUAUUUAAACAUUUGUCAAAGUAUGUAAAGAAAUAUCGAAAUAAAAAAAAACUUUCAACAACGGAUCUCUUGGCUCU
rnacentral:misc_RNA from 1 species